GAUGAACGCUGGCGGCGUGCCUAAUACAUGCAAGUCGAGCGAACAGAUGAGGAGCUUGCUCCUCUGACGUUAGCGGCGGACGGGUGAGUAACACGUGGAUAACCUACCUAUAAGACUGGGAUAACUUCGAGAAACCGGAGCUAAUACCGGAUAAUAUAUUGAACCGCAUGGUUCAAUAGUGAAAGACGGUUUUGCUGUCACUUAUAGAUGGAUCCGCGCCGCAUUAGCUAGUUGGUAAGGUAACGGCUUACCAAGGCAACGAUGCGUAGCCGACCUGAGAGGGUGAUCGGCCACACUGGAACUGAGACACGGUCCAGACUCCUACGGGAGGCAGCAGUAGGGAAUCUUCCGCAAUGGGCGAAAGCCUGACGGAGCAACGCCGCGUGAGUGAUGAAGGUCUCCGGAUCGUAAAACUCUGUUAUUAGGGAAGAACAAAUGUGUAAGUAACUAUGCACGUCUUGACGGUACCUAAUCAGAAAGCCACGGCUAACUACGUG
rnacentral:rRNA from 1 species